AUGCUUGCUUUGGCAGCACAUACCUUAAAAUUUGGAAUGAUACAAGGAUUAGCAUGGCCCCUGUGUAAGGAUGACAUGCAAAUUCGUGAAGUGUUCCAUAAAACA
rnacentral:snRNA from 1 species